rnacentral:lncRNA from 1 species
AAUUUAAUGAAAUCCAUUACUGAAGUAUUUAGCCAACAUAAAACCAUUCUCUUGCUCUGUUCAACAAAGAUACCAAGAACAUUCACAAUAACAUACUGAAAACAGCAAGUGAAUCCAUUUGGGGAAGAUGGCCUGAGGGACUCUACUACACAUUUAGGCAAGGCCACAAACACAGAAGCGGGAAGCAGAAGCAGACAGACGGAGCUCCACCUGACCCCAAACAGAUGGAGCGGCUGCCCGCACUUACGCUGCCUUUACAGACAGAUCUGAGCUGAGUUACGCAAAGCAGGAGCAUCUUGAUACAUGAGGAAGUACAAUAUGUUCAUGUUCAGAAUGAAACAGUACGAUUACGGACGUAAAAAAACAUGCAACCUGAAAAUAUAAUUAUCCACAACUUCCAUAAACUGUUUCUGGAUAGAACUGCUGCACUGUAAACCCAUUCGCUGUAUAAACUCCAAUGAUUUAAGUCUGUUUUACAUAAAAUUAGAUAUUUCUAAACAAUACUUAACUAUUUUGAGUUAGUUGAACAUUUGUGGGCACAUAUGCAUUCAAACUGAGAUCUUUGAGUUGAACCAACUUUAACAACCAAUAACAGCUUCUUUUCCAUUGGCUUCUGUCACAAUCUAUUUGCAUACUGGGUGUGUCCAACGGUUUCUGACAGACACUCACCAUCAGUGUGUAGUGAUUGACCCUGGGCUACUUUACAAGUAAAUCAACUUCCUCUUUAGUUUUAAUAACUUGAUUUUUUUUUUAUUUAUGGUAACUAAUGUUCAUUCUUUAUUGCUUAAAAAAAUUAACAAAAAAGCUGCCUUAACAAAGUUAAGUAAAAUCAGCUUAUUUGGUCUUAAAGUAUAACAAAAAUAACACAGUUAAAUAAACUUUCUCUCAAAUUUUUAAAAUAAGUUCA